rnacentral:rRNA from 1 species
UACAGAGGGGGCAAGCGUUGUUCGGAAUUACUGGGCGUAAAGGGCGCGUAGGCGGCCUUCUAAGUCGAACGUGAAAUCCCCGGGCUCAACCCGGGAACUGCGUCCGAUACUGGAAGGCUUGAAUCCGGGAGAGGGAUGUGGAAUUCCAGGUGUAGCGGUGAAAUGCGUAGAUAUCUGGAGGAGCACCGGUGGCGAAGGCGACAUCCUGGACCGGUAUUGACGCUGAGGCGCGAAAGCCAGGGGAGCAAACGGG